rnacentral:pre_miRNA from 1 species
AAUAAGUUUAUUUUUCAGUUUUUGGAUACGGUGUGUUUGACUCUUUAUCUUAUUUAAAAAAAUUACAAUUAAUAUUUUUAUCGUUACUAGAUGAUAAAAAAAUCAAUAGUAUUUUAUGCGUAACUAAUUUUUAAAAGUUUUUAAAAAUUUUUUUAAAUAAGACGAAUGGUCAAACUUUGGACACAUAAAUCGAAAAAUAAAGUUAUU